rnacentral:rRNA from 1 species
CCUACGGGUGGCAGCAGUGAGGAAUAUUGGUCAAUGGUCGGGAGACUGAACCAGCCAAGCCGCGUGAGGGAUGAAGGUACAGAGUAUCGUAAACCUCUUUUGUCAGGGAACAAAGGCGGGGACGCGUCCCCGGAUAAGUGUAGAUGAAGAAAAAGCAUCGGCCAACUCCGUGCAAGCAGCGGCGGCAAUACGGAGGAUGCGAGCGUUAUCCGGAUUUAUAGGGUUAAAGGGGUGCGCAGGCGGUCUGUUAAGUCAGCGGUCAAAGCCCGGGGCUCACCCCCGGCCCGCCGUUGCACCUGGGAGUCUCGAGUUGGAGAGAAGUAUGCGGAAUGCGCGGUGUAGCGGUGAAAUGCAUAGAUAUCGCGCAGAACUCCGAUUGCGAAGGCAGCAUGCCGGCUCCACACUGACGCUGAGGCACGAAAGCGUGGGUAUCGAACAGGAUUAGAUACCCCUGUAGUC